rnacentral:rRNA from 1 species
GGUGGGUAGUUUGACUGGGGCGGUCUCCUCCUAAAGAGUAACGGAGGAGCACGAAGGUUGGCUAAUCCUGGUCGGACAUCAGGAGGUUAGUGCAAUGGCAUAAGCCAGCUUGACUGCGAGCGUGACGGCGCGAGCAGGUGCGAAAGCAGGUCAUAGUGAUCCGGUGGUUCUGAAUGGAAGGGCCAUCGCUCAACGGAUAAAAGGUACUCCGGGGAUAACAGGCUGAUACCGCCCAAGAGUUCAUAUCGACGGCGGUGUUUGGCACCUCGAUGUCGGCUCAUCACAUCCUGGGGCUGAAGUAGGUCCCAAGGGUAUGGCUGUUCGCCAUUUAAAGUGGUACGCGAGCUGGGUUUAGAACGUCGUGAGACAGUUCGGUCCCUAUCUGCCGUGGGCGCUGGAGAACUGAGGGGGGCUGCUCCUAGUACGAGAGGACCGGAGUGGACGCAUCACUGGUGUUCGGGUUGUCAUGCCAAUGGCACUGCCCGGUAGCUAAAUGCGGAAGAGAUAAGUGCUGAAAGCAUCUAAGCACGAAACUUGCCCCGAGAUGAGUUCUCCCUGACUCCUUGAGAGUCCUGAAGGAACGUUGAAGACGACGACGUUGAUAGGCCGGGUGUGUAAGCGCAGCGAUGCGUUGAGCUAACCGGUACUAAUGAACCGUGAGGCUUAACCUUACAACGCCGAAG